UUAAAGGCAAACCUGGAGGAAUGCAUAUGCACAUGAGAUAGCUGAGCAUGCAGUGACAUGAUCACGUUUGAAAAGUUACACAUAAUUCAGUUGCUGCACCUGCAUUAUGUGUCACUGAAAGGACCGUGUUUUGGCCUGCAGCUUCCUGUCACUUUUUAUGUUUUUAGUGUUUGUUGCUGCACUAAAGCUGCACUGUAUAGCUCCGUGUUGUGAGUAUAGAGGACGCGGGGUUUUGUUUUUGUUUAAACAGUGUAUAUGUGUAGUUUUGUGCAUGUAAGGUCCUCAUGGUUUUACACACCGUGGUCUCCCUCCACUCUCCACUGGAGCUAAAAGCCCCGAAACAGAACGGUAAUUGCCCAAUUAGGGCCCUCGCUCUGUGGGCCGCAGAGCACUAUGCGCCUCCACAUGCUCACAGAGUCAGAUAAUUGAGCUGAAAGCAAAUGAACGGAUGGCAGACAAACAAGCUACUAGAAAAUAAUUACUUGGAGUGUUUCUUUUCAGUACCUGUACAGCGAAUUUCAUUAUUGUCAAUAGCCUCUAAAGCUGCUCGAAACGGUGGUAUUUGUCAUUUUCAUAGAGACUUGAUAAUGACAUUAAUUUGUCUUAAUGGGUUGGUUCUAUUGUUAAAAAUAGUAAAAUGAGCAGAAAUUGUCUUUCCUCAGCAGGUAGAGAGGACUUCACCACACUCCCGUCAGACAUGAGGAGAUAAUUUGGUGUGCUUGUCAAAUUUCCAAUAAUUUGUUAUAUGGAACAUGAGUAAUGCUAAUACCAUUAAUGUCCAUUUUCCUCUAAAUUCAUUACUGCCCUUUUUCCCUUUUAUGUUUUUAAUGCCUCUGCCAUUUUUCUGUGCUUCAAGAGGUUAUACCAGGACUGAUUAAAAACAUGCACAUUUAGACUUUUGCCUCAUACGCACACACACAUGCACACAGAUAUAUACAUGUCAUUUAAAACAUCUGUAAGAUCAGCCUGCCAUCAAUCCUCCCCCUAAACAACUGGAGGGUCUGUUAAAGCUGAAAUAUCAAUUCAGUUGGUUAGCGGGAGGAUGCAUUCAAACAAAAACAAUAACAGUAUCAGCUUUAAUUUACAGUAAGGUACAAAAUCUGUCAAAAAUCAGGUUCAUUUACCUUCAUUAUGAUUGUCAGCAGAGGAGGAAUUUUGCAGUCUGUUACAAUUUACAAAUAUGAAUUUGUGUUUAAUGUUACAGUGUACACCUUUUAUGUAACCCUUAGUGCUGAUUUUCACUCUUCUUUAACCAUAAUUUAAUUUUUUUCUGAAUUAUUUAGUGUUUUAAUUUAAUUUUGAAAGACAAUAGAGUGUAUUUUAUUCAAAAAAUGUCUAACAGUAUAAGUGUCACCUCACAGACAUGAAAUGGAUGAUAAAAUAUUUAGUUGAAAUAUUUAUUUAAAAUGAUCAAUUUAAACCAAUUUCUAAACACAUAUUUAAAAUUUGCUUUUUGAAUAUGUGAAAUGAAGGAUUAUAAUAUGAAAAUAUUAAAUAGAAGCCCAAGAAUUAAUUACACAGAAAUUAAUUUACGCUUUAAUGCAAUCAUGUAAUCAGCUAACAGCUACUUAUUACUAUUGAUGUAUUCUAUUUGGAUUUUCUACUAAUUAUUUUUAUCUAAAACAAGUAAAAUACACUUGCGGUGAAGGGUAUUUUAUAACUUCAUUUGCUGAGCAAAUAAAAAAAAAACACAAAUGGAAAGACUGUAAAACAAAUGAACAAUGAUGCAAUUCAAAAAUUAAGUGGCCAAAUGUAUACAUCCUGUUUUAUUUCUUAAAUUCAGAGAAUAUUCAGAAAUAAUAAAAUAGUACAGAAAUGUAAACAAUAAAGCAAAGGAAAGUGAUUAAAGUUUGAGGACUUUGUUACAGCUGGAGGUAUUUUCCUCUCUUUAAGCCUCGCUGCUCGCAUGUGACCCUCCAACAUCACUGUCUCAAAACAACACAAAAUAUCCUGAACUUGUGCCGAGUGUCGAGAAAGAAGAGUUUCCCAUCCUUUUCCUCCAUCGUGCCUUCAGCAGUCAGCAACAUGUGAAACAUGAAGUGGGAGGAAGAAGAGGAUGACAACAUGAUAAACACAAAGCUCACACAGUCCACUGAGCAGACAGACCUUAAUGCUGCAACUGUAAACUGAUUCAGGAUGAAAUGCAAAAAGGCACAAUUUCAUUCUUAGAAAUGUGACUUAAAGAAAAUACACAGUGCAGCAUUAAUGUUGGCUUCAUACUAAAACCAUUGUCCAAAAGAGAAUUAUAGCCACAUUUGUUAAAAAAAAAACAAAAACAAGUAAGCUCUUAUAAAUGAUCUUAUUAUAUUAUAGUUCCUGUUAUUCUUACUUUAAUGUUAUGAAUCUGAUUGUUUUAUUUGGUAAUAUUUUUUUCCUGAGGAUUAAUGCACUUAACUGAGGAUGGAAAUGCAUUUUGCUGAGGCUGAAAUCUUAUACACUUUUCAUAAUUAAUUUCUGAACAAGCAUAAAAACACUGUCUAAAUGUCAAAAGAAAAAAUAAAAAUAAAAGUCCAGUAAAUACUGAAGAAUUGACCUUUAAUUGUUACAUUUACAGUUGGCACUGCUCAGUGUGUUCAGGUUUUGCAGUUAGAAAGUCUCUCCUCAGUGAUGACUGGGAAUUCAGCAGCCUGCAGAGGGCGCUGGUAAAAAUAAAAUGAAAUACUACAGCAGUGACAGUUAACUGUUUCAAUAUUUGCCUCAAAUGAGGUCAUAGUACAGUAGAUAUGUCUGAUUCUUUAUCAGAUAGUGGUAAAUAAAUGUAUGAAGGCUUUUUUUUAAGUAAGGAUGGAUCUUAACAAUUUCCCCCCAUUCAAACAUAUUUUUUUUGUUUAGAUUUUUAUUUUGUUUUUAUUUUUUUCAAUACUAAACAGAUAAAUAAAGAUCAGUAUAUUUGUACAGUGCUCAGCAAUAACACAGAAAAUAUCAAUCAUGCUGUAUACCUGGUCCGUGUACGGAUCUGGUAAUUGGAUUUUCCGUUCUAAAACAAGUGUUGAAAAACAAAAAAAAAACGAGUGGUUAUUUGAUUUUCGUUUUAAAAUUCAAAAAUUAAAAUUGAAAUACAAGGCGUUUUUCAUUUUCAUGAUCAAAAAGGGAUAUACGAUUUUUUUCAAUGCUUUGAUUUUCGUUUUAUAUUGCGAAUAACAAGAAAGUAAAAUCAGUAAGAGACAGAAACGAAAAAAAGGUCAGUUUUUUCAUUUUCUGAGACCGGAAGUGGUCAUCAGCAAGUGUGGAGCCAAACCGAGUACGGUGCAUAGACUGUAUAUAAUUUCGUUAUUUUUCAUGGUCAAAAUGAGAGAUCAGGUGGCCGAUCUUAAAAUAAAUCAAUAUUGAAUUUUUUAUAGAGCGUUAAAGUUUUGCGUAGCCAAGGGGCGGGACUACUUGAUUGACAGUCCGGUCUGGAACGAUUGACAGGUCCUAUGGAGGAGGCAGCAGAGACUCUGCUCUCCUGGUUUGGAUUAAUUCUGAUAUAAUAACUGUUGGUUUAUUUAUCGGUGGAAAAGCACAACAUUUUCCAAAGACAGUUUUCCUGCCCGUUGGCUUGUUUUAACCAGUUUUCUGCCUUCGGCUGAUUCUACCAGCAGACACUGAAAGGACUCUAAUAGUUCGAGUGAAAGUAGCAGUUCCUCCUUAAGGUCAGAGAUUGCAGCAUCUGAGGGCCUCUUCAAAAGAAGACGUAGUUGAUGAAGGCGUUCUGGAGCAGGACCAGAAAGACCACGACCAAGCAGCCUUGAGAUCUUAGGCAGCAUCUCCCUCAGACAUCCACCAACCACUGGAACACAUCUCCAAAGUUCUGCCGGGCCAGCUCAGCUUCCCCUCAGAAGAAGUGCCGCCACCUGACAGAUGAAGGAGCCUUUUGAGAGGCAGCUGGCAUCGUGAUUGGACUGUACUUUGGUCUGUUCCAAUCCAGCUUCAGCUCCAGAGACGGCAGGCGGGACGAGUCAACGGAGGCCGGGUGGACGAAGGCAUGCAGCUGAGUACAAUCCAGAAAACAACAGAGGAGGAGUGCAGUGGCCCAGAGCCAGAACAAACAGAGUAGCAUCGUAUGUCUCUUAGAAAACAUUAUAGUAUAGCCUUUGGUAUGAAAAAACACCAUCAUAUACAUCGUAUAUUGUACAAAUAACAAGUCAAAGGAAAGAGACAUACAUUGUAGAAUUGUAGUAAUUGUGGGCUGACUGAUUUACUGAUUAGCAGUAUUUUAUUUUUUACUGAUUUACCGUAAUAAAUACAUUUAAAAAUGG